GAUGAACGCUAGCUACAGGCUUAACACAUGCAAGUCGAGGGGAAACGACAUCGAAAGCUUGCUUCCGAUGGGCGUCGACCGGCGCACGGGUGAGUAACGCGUAUCCAACCUGCCCACCACUUGGGGAUAACCUUGCGAAAGUAAGACUAAUACCCAAUGAUAUCUCUAGAAGACAUCUGAAAGAGAUUAAAGAUUUAUCGGUGAUGGAUUGGGAUGCGUCUGAUUAGCUUGUUGGCGGGGUAACGGCCCACCAAGGCGACGAUCAGUAGGGGUUCUGAGAGGAAGGUCCCCCACAUUGGAACUGAGACACGGUCCAAACUCCUACGGGAGGCAGCAGUGAGGAAUAUUGGUCAAUGGACGAGAGUCUGAACCAGCCAAGUAGCGUGCAGGAAGACGGCCCUAUGGGUUGUAAACUGCUUUUAUAAGGGAAUAAAGUGAGUCUCGUGAGACUUUUUGCAUGUACCUUGUGAAUAAGGACCGGCUAAUUCCGUGCCAGCAGCCGCGGUAA
rnacentral:rRNA from 1 species